UUGGUUAAACAUACUGUCAGUAAAAAAGACGAUCGUACAACAUUAUAAAAAUUAUAUAAACCACAUAUUGGAAAGCAGAACGUAGUUUUAAAUGAUUAGAUUUGAGGAAUCUGAGUCUUUAAAAUCAAACGUGUACCUACCCAAUAACAAUACCUCGCCCCUAUUGCCAUUGUUCCGUUAUCAAUAACUUUGGCCGCUUCGGUAUGCUCCAAUAACACCAAUCGUUUUGUUUUCAUAGUUCAAAGUUUGUGCCAUGUGAUCCACAUCUAUCGACUUUGUCUUACUGGCUCUUACCACAUCAGAAAUCUUCCAGUUUUAAAUUAUGGCACUGGAUUACAUUAAUUCGAUUUUUUUUUGCUGGGAAAUUUUUGAAAUAGCAUGAUUUAAAGAUAACAAUUUUGAAGUUGAAAUAUUUUUCAAUUAAAAGUUACAUGGAUAACAGGUGUUUAUGCAAAUAUGUUAUUUGUGAGUGACCCUGUUUGUAAAACAUAUAAUGUUCUAGAAGUAAGUCAUCAAGACUUAAGAUGCACAUUGGAAUCAAUUAUAAACCGGAGCCAUGGGUUAUCUAAGAUAAUUUGCAAUGUCGUGCAAACAACAAGGUGUUGUGCAAUUCCGAGCGGAGUUUGGUGGCCAAUGAAAAGAUUGCCAAUGCCAUGUUGAACUGGGAAAGAUACAGGAGCGGCUAACAGGUCCAAGCUCCUCAGAAAGCACAGUUACAUAUUUCCUAUUCAAGAAACACCUGUUUUUUAAUCAGAACAACGUGGAUGGACUUGUGGGAAAAGAAGUGUUGUACCAUUAGGUGCUGCAUGACCUCAAUUCAAUUUAAAAUUGAACAUUUUUUAUGAAAAUGUACAGAUAAUUAUUGAUUUUGAGCAAGGCUUGAGAAAUGUCAUUAAUAGGGUUGUAAUGGGUAUGUAUUAGAAUGUAUAACUGAAGGUAUUAUAAACCGCUUUUACUUAUGCGGUUACUAUACGUAUACUAUGCGGUUCUCCUUGUAAAAGCAUUUAGCAUAACAACCUAUGAACACUGGU